GGUAGCAAUACUGGGCGGCGACCGGCAAACGGGUGCGGAACACGUACGCAACCUUCCUUCAAGUGGGGGAUAGCCCAGGGAAACUUGGAUUAAUACCCCGUAAUAUUAUGAGGUGGCAUCAUCUUAUAAUUAUAGCUACGGCGCUUGGAGAUGGGCGUGCGGCUGAUUAGGUAGUUGGCGGGGUAACAGCCCACCAAGCCUGCGAUCAGUAACUGGUGUGAGAGCACGACCAGUCACACGGGCACUGAGACACGGGCCCGACUCCUACGGGAGGCAGCAGUAAGGAAUAUUGGUCAAUGGACGCAAGUCUGAACCAGCCAUGCCGCGUGGAGGAUGAAGGCCCUCUGGGUUGUAAACUUCUUUUAUUUGGGAAGAAACCCAUCUUUUCUAAGGUGGUUGACGGUACCAGAUGAAUAAGCACCGGCUAACUCCGUGCCAGCAGCCGCGGUAAUACGGAGGGUGCAAGCGUUAUCCGGAUUCACUGGGUUUAAAGGGUGCGUAGGUGGGCAGGUAAGUCAGUGGUGAAAUCUCCGGGCUUAACCCGGAAACUGCCGUUGAUACUAUCUGUCUUGAAUGUCGUGGAGGUGAGCGGAAUAUGUCAUGUAGCGGUGAAAUGCUUAGAUAUGACAUAGAACAUCAAUUGCGAAGGCAGCUCGCUACACGGUUAUUGACACUGAGGCACGAAAGCGUGGGGAUCAAACAGGAUUAGAUACCCUGGUAGUCCACGCCCUAAACGAUGAUUACUCGACAUAUGCGAUACACUGUAUGUGUCUGAGCGAAAGCAUUAAGUAAUCCACCUGGGAAGUACGA
rnacentral:rRNA from 1 species